AGUAUAAUUGACAAGGUAAAUAGCACAAUCUCCUUAGUCUUACAGAAUUUGAAUUUGCCAUGCUAGUAAUUUACAAUAUUUGUAUAUUUUUGUAUAUAUAAUUGACGAGGUAAAUAGUUUUUAUCGUUAUCAGUCAAUUUUUUUUCUUAGUUAAUUAUUUUUAUUUAAAUCUACACGACAGUCACAAAACCACACACGAAGCCCUCACAACAGUGGGACUUUUCAUUUUUUAUUAAACUCAAUUCAAAAUUACAAAGUAAUUGCACAACCACACAAAAACAUCGUCACAACAAACAUAAAGCUAAACUCAUACCUAAUUAUGUAGACGUGCAUAGCCCAUCCCCACAUAUAUCUGUUUUGGACAAAACUCUAUAAACAAUGACCUUUCACAAAUCUAACAACAUUUAUACGAUGCCACACCAUAAAUUUGUCCCA
rnacentral:misc_RNA from 1 species